rnacentral:rRNA from 1 species
UACGUAGGGUGCAAGCGUUAUCCGGAUUUAUUGGGUUUAAAGGGUGCGUAGGCGGGUGCCUAAGUCCAGGAUGAAAUGGCAGAGCUUAACUCCGUCGCUGUCCUGGAUACUGGGGAUCUUGAGUGCGGUCGAGGGUGCUGGAAUGAGUGGUGUAGUAGUGAAAUACUUAGAGAUCACUCAGAACACCAAUUGCGAAGGCAGGUGCCUAGACCGAAACUGACGCUGAGGCACGAAAGCGUGGGGAGCAAACAGG